CCUACGGGAGGCAGCAGUGGGGAAUUUUGGACAAUGGGCGAAAGCCUGAUCCAGCAAUGCCGCGUGUGUGAAGAAGGCCUUCGGGUUGUAAAGCACUUUUGUCCGGAAAGAAAUCCUUGGUUCUAAUAUAACCGGGGGAUGACGGUACCGGAAGAAUAAGCACCGGCUAACUACGUGCCAGCAGCCGCGGUAAUACGUAGGGUGUGAGCGUUAAUCGGAACUACUGGGCGUAAAGCGUGCGCAGGCGGUUUGUUAAGACCGAUGUGAAAUCCCCGGGCUCAACCUGGGAACUGCAUUGGUGACUGGCAAGCUAGAGUAUGGCAGAGGGGGGUAGAAUUCCACGUGUAGCAGUGAAAUGCGUAGAGAUGUGGAGGAAUACCGAUGGCGAAGGCAGCCCCCUGGGCCAAUACUGACGCUCAUGCACGAAAGCGUGGGGAGCAAACAGGAUUAGAUACCCUGGUAGUCCACGCCCUAAACGAUGUCAACUAGUUGUUGGGGAUUCAUUUCCUUAGUAACGUAGCUAACGCGUGAAGUUGACCGCCUGGGGAGUACGGUCGCAAGAUUAAAACUCAAAGAAUUGACGG
rnacentral:rRNA from 1 species